UGCAUGUCCAGUGUAUAUUGAGGGGGAACUGAAACUUGGAUACAACGAAAGUGCACUUUAUUUUCAUGCUAUUUUUACACUGUACAGGAACAUAGGCCCCCGGCUGGCUACCACGCAAAACACACACAUACACACAAAACCAUCAUGAGGCACACUGUACUAUAGUGGGGAUGGCAUCGACAGCAACCAAAACGAACUGAAGGCCGGCGCCGGUGAACUGUAUGUUAGGGAAGGAGAGAGCUGCGAGGGGGGGGGGUGCUCCGGUGAACCGCCGGUGAUGUGUGCGAGCAGCAGCGAAAACACUAAUGAAUUGGGUACUGCACCAAUGGUCCAACCGACCUGCAAUGAAGAGGAAGCUUCACUGCUCGCUGCAUGGGCCAGCUGGAGAACCUCCUGUCCACACCAAGUAAACUGCAGCAACAAUCCAACUGGAGAACCUCCUGCCGCGCGCAUCCAUACAGCAGCUUCGGACGGCCGAAACUGAAGUGCGUGCCAAUCAUCCUCGAGUGCUUGCGCACUGCACGGACACCCCAACUGACCUGCAACAAUAGCAAGCUGCACUGCUCGCCGUCAGUAGAUAACAACAAUGAAAAAUUGGAUCUGGGCAUGGCUUUUUGUAUGCGACGGUAAGAGGACCACCGGAGUCCAGUGGUGGCCACCUCGCCGGUGGACCGCACUGCACUGAACGGCUGGACGCACGCGUCCGAGCUGCAUGUCCAUGGUUGUCGAGCUGCACGUCCACGCCCCAGACUGAACACUGGCAGCCGAGCUGCAUUGGGACAGCAACUCAGCUGCACUCGGGCGACAGCCGAGCACUCAAGUGAGGUAGAUGAGCUGCUAUGCGUGGUGGCUAGGGGAGGUCGAUGCCCAUAGCGCUCGCGAGUCCCACCUCCAUUGCCUGAUCGAGUAGCAGCAGACCGAAAGCCCUCCCUCGGGUGCAAUCAGAGUUGAAUAAAGGCCUUGCGUUAGCCGGAGUCGAUGUGGACUGGAUCCACUGCCGGUGGUGGCCAGAUCCCGUACCUCGGGUGGCCUCCUUGGUCUACAGCGAUGGGGAGGAAGAGUCGGGGGGCGUUGCUGGGAGGCACUGCGGCAGUUGGAGGAGCUCCAGCAGCAAAGAUCCAGGGGUCACAUCGGUCAAUGGAGGAUCAUGCAGAGAGGGGAGGGAAGGGCGAGGAGCUGGUCGCCCGAAUCCCCUGUUGACAUGGUAGUCGAAGGUGGAGGCGGUGGGGCUGCGCCAUGGGCUCCUUGGAUCCGGUGGUGGGGAUCCGCCUACCCGCGCGUGGUGAUAGAGCUCGUCGGAUCCACCGCGGGGGAGAUGAUGAUGUUGGUUAGCUCGUCGGAUCUGCCGCGGGGGACACGAGGAGGAGGGCUGCCUCAUCGAGUUCGCCACGGGCAGAAGGAGCGGUGGCCGCUAGUGCAUGCCUCCUGAACGGCCUCCUUGCUAGAGAGGGAGGGCACGACCCGGGCGCCAGCGACGCUGAAGGCGGCAGGGCGGCGGCAGUUCGGGGUAGCGCAUCGGAGGUAUGUGGUGGGCCGGCUCGGGCUGACGAGCCCCUGCUGCCCCGGUGGCGGCACUGCGGGGGCAUCAGCGGUGGUAGGUGGGGGGGAUCGGGAGAUUCC
rnacentral:rRNA from 1 species